rnacentral:rRNA from 1 species
UACGUAGGUAGCGAGCGUUGUCCGGAAUGACUGGGCGUAAAGGGAGUCUAGGUGGCAAUUUAAGUCAACUGUGAAAGUCUAUGGCUUAACCAAAGAAUUGCAGUUGAUACUGGAUAGCUAGAGUGCAGGAGAGGUAAUGGGAAUUCCUAGUGUAGCGGUAAAAUGCGUAGAGAUUAGGAGGAACACCGGAGGCGAAGGCGCAUCACUGGACUGUAACUGACACUGAAGCUCGAAAGCGUGGGUAGCAAAC